GGGGAAUAUUGCGCAAUGGGGGGAACCCUGACGCAGCCAUGCCGCGUGAAUGAAGAAGGCCUUCGGGUUGUAAAGUUCUUUCGGUAUUGAGGAAGGUUGAUGUGUUAAUAGCACAUCAAAUUGACGUUAAAUACAGAAGAAGCACCGGCUAACUCCGUGCCAGCAGCCGCGGUAAUACGGAGGGUGCGAGCGUUAAUCGGAAUAACUGGGCGUAAAGGGCACGCAGGCGGUUAUUUAAGUGAGGUGUGAAAGCCCCGGGCUUAACCUGGGAAUCGCAUUUCAGACUGGGUAACUAGAGUACUUUAGGGAGGGGUAGAAUUCCACGUGUAGCGGUGAAAUGCGUAGAGAUGUGGAGGAAUACCGAAGGCGAAGGCAGCCCCUUGGGAAUGUACUGACGCUCAUGUGCGAAAGCGUGGGGAGCAAACAGGAUUAGAUACCCUGGUAGUCCACGCUGUAAACGCUGUCGAUUUGGGGGUUGGGGUUUAACUCUGGCGCCCGUAGCUAACGUGAUAAAUCGACCGCCUGGGGAGUACGGCCGCAAGGUUA
rnacentral:rRNA from 1 species